rnacentral:rRNA from 1 species
CCUACGGGUGGCAGCAGUGAGGAAUAUUGGUCAAUGGACGAGAGUCUGAACCAGCCAAGUAGCGUGAAGGAUGACUGCCCUAUGGGUUGUAAACUUCUUUUAUAUGGGAAUAAAAUGUUCCACGUGUGGGAUUUUGUAUGUACCAUAUGAAUAAGAAUCGGCUAACUCCGUGCCAGCAGCCGCGGUAAUACGGAGGAUCCGAGCGUUAUCCGGAUUUAUUGGGUUUACAGGGAGCGUAGGUGGAUUGUUAAGUCAGUUGUGAAAGUUUGCGGCUCAACCGUACAAUUGCAGUUGAAACUGGCAGUCUUGAGUACAGUAGAGGUGGGCGGAAUUCGUGGUGUAGCGGUGAAAUGCUUAGAUAUCACGAAGAACUCCGAUUGCGAAGGCAGUUCACUGGACUGCAACUGACGCUGAGGCUCGAAAGUGUGGGUAUCAAACAGGAUUAGAUACUCUUGUAGUC